rnacentral:rRNA from 1 species
UACGGGGGGGGUAAGCGUUGUUCGGAAUUACUGGGCGUAAAGGGCUCGUAGGCGGCCAACUAAGUCGGACGUGAAAUCCCUCGGCUUAACCGGGGAACUGCGUCUGAUACUGGAUGGCUUGAGUUCGGGAGAGGGAUGCGGAAUUCCAGGUGUAGCGGUGAAAUGCGUAGAUAUCUGGAGGAACACCGGUGGCGAAGGCGGCAUCCUGGACCGAUACUGACGCUGAGGAGCGAAAGCCAGGGGAGCAAACGGG